rnacentral:rRNA from 1 species
GUCUACAGUAAUGCCAUCCUGAACGUGACAGAUCUUGUCUGAUCUCGAAGGCUAAGCAGGGUCAGGCCUGUUAGUACUUGGAUGGGAGACCACCUAGGACUACCAGGUGCUAUAGGCA